rnacentral:lncRNA from 1 species
CACUGGAGAAGAAGCUGUCGUCGGAAGUUCUGGAUGAAAGCUUCGGCGCAUUUGUCGACGUCAUGAUGGAUCGUCUGCUUGCUCUCUAUCUUAUUGCCAUUUGAAGGUAUUGUCACCGUUCUUCUCUUUUCUGUAAUAACCUUGUUGUUGGUACAGCGCACAGAUAGUUGUUGUACAGAGCUCAUCUUCCUCUGUUUUUUUUUUUUUUUUUUGUGUGUGUUUUGUGUUUAAGGGAAUUUGAUACUUGGGUGAUGUAUUUAUAGGAUUGAUGUAUUGUGUGAUUGCUUGCUAGAUCCCCUAUGCCUUUUUUUUUAUCCCUCUUUAUUGUAACCAAGUCUUUCUUUUAUCUCUACGGAAUUAACUUUAAUGUUUUAGGAAGGAAUAACUAACAAGAGAUCGAAAGUUGAAUUUGGACGUUUAGAUAAAAUAGCGCUAAAAUGCUGUAUGUCCUGGUCCAAGUAAAAUCAUAUUAUCCUUUCAUCACUUAUCCACUUAAAAUCUAAAAGUGUUAACAAAAUAAUAAUCAAUUAAUUAAUGAAUAAUGCAACUUCCGCUUCCAUUUUCUUUAUAAAGAUCUGAUAAUAAAUAUAUCCUCUGGAUCAAAUAUAUAAGGGAUACGUUUCCAAUCCAAUUAAAGAGGAAAUUAAGCAUCAAAUCCAUAGGUUCCUUUUGAAAAAGGAAAGGCAUACAUAAAAUCUGACCUAACAAUUGGAUUAGAUUAUUCAUAGGCUAGAAGAAGCUUAUAGGGACACUAGAAGCAGAUUAGCCACCGAAAGGCAUCGUCCUCGACGGUCGUUUUCGCUGUUCCGAUGCCCCUUCCUCACUGAUUAUUUUUUUUGUUUAAUAAUUUGUGAAUACGGGCCGUUUUUUCCUUUUACAAAUGUUUCCUUAAAAUUUUGUUUAUUGCAGAUGUACCCUCUCUUUUUGUUUAUUACAUACAUUCUCAUAGUUUUGGUAAAUUACAUACGUUUCGUUUUGGUAAAACUUUUGAGCUGUAAUUUGCUUUACAUUCUUCAAUAAGUUGAGUGGAGAUCCCCAGGAUUCACAAGAGAAGCUCGACCAUAAGGCGAUAGAUUGAUGAACUGAAUUUGCUAAAACGUGAAAAUUCAAUCAUUUUGGCGUAUGCGUGGUAGAUUUGCAAUGUGAAAACAUGACUUCAAAGGUAUGAUACAGAUGUGAUCCCAGAGUGGACCGACUGUUCUAAGAAGCUUGUCUCAUCUGAGAGGCAAGGAGGAGGGUAUACUUGACCCGAACUAGAACCAUAAGCUUCCCAGCAGAAGGACUCUGUGAAACCAUCAUCGUUCGAUGGUUCAAGAUCAAUGUCUUGUAGAUGUAUAUUGCGACAUGGUGAAGUAUCGCUGCAAGAGAUCUUGAUUGCUUGUUUUGAUGCUGAAGUUCCCACCACGUGAACAAAUGAGAUUUUCUCGAUGGUAACAGCUGAUGUCUACAUUUUUUUCAUUUUUUUAAAAAUUAGUUUGUAUAACAGAUAUCAGGUUCAAUAUCUGAGCUGCGUACUGAAGA